UAAUUUUAUUGUACAUUGUGCAAUCAAAGUUGGACAGAUGUCUAUUCUUGUUAUUUAGAACAAAAACAAGGAUGCUUUUGUCUUUUCAUAUAUUCGUUCUUCAUUCUCUAGGAUGCUUCUCGAUGAUUCUUCACUUUUCUUUCUUUCUCCCUUUCAGUCUCUCCAAUUUUUCCAAACUAAAUUAGUUCGAUUAGGUUUCAAAAUUCAGGAGAAAAUUUUCAAAUAACUCAUCAACUAUACUUUGAACACCCCCUUGACAUUGUAGUUGCAAGUUUUAACCACAAUUCGAUAUUUUUCUCCCCUGGAUAUCUCUGUUUCCGCUCCCGUAUUUCUCUUUUCUUACUAUCUGAAGAAUGGUAAAAAGUUAAUUUUAUGCUAAAAGAGAAAAAGACAGAUAAUUCUGGAAGCAUGCUCUUCCAUCUUCUUCCCAGGUGGGUAUCGCCAUUUAGGUAUUCUUUUCUUUUAUUUGUAGCCCAAAUCUUCUUUCAGCUCUUUACACUCUCUCUUCAAUCUUUUUCAGAUUGAGCAUCUCAAGCUGAAUGAGAUAUGCUUCUGUUAAUUUUUGCAGAGAAAUUGUUACUACCAGGGUAGAAAAAGAUGUUGAGGGAGACAAAUUUUUUGGCCUUUGUCGCAACAUUAAUUUCAUUUUGUUACCCUUUCAUCGGAUUGGGUCUUGUGAUUGGUAUUUGAAAUCUUGAGAGGAUUGAACUUUUGGCCUAUGACCAUAUAUUUUCCAGUGGAAAUGUACAUUGUGCAAGGAAAAAUUGGAGCUUGGACAAAAAACUGAAUACAUCUUGAAGGUUUCAGUCUGCUUGAUUGAGCAUUUCUGAAAAUAUUAAUAGUUAUUCUGAAAAGAGUCAUAAGGUACAUGGUGAUUUCUUUUCACGUUUUGCUUUGAUCAGAUGUUCUCUCCAAUUAUUUCUUUCCAUCGUUUGCUUACUACAUUGUUUUCUUUAGGAUUUCUCUGUUACUCCAUGUAUCCAUCCAUGUCCUGCUGGUAAUUGGUAAAGUGGACUCAGUUAAUUUAGAAUUUGAACUUGAAGUCGAUUUUUGCCUACUAGGUAUUCUCAAACAUUCAGCUACGCAGGAAAGGCUAUCUAACCACCAGGUUUGGUUUGAAUAGAGAUUCAAAUGUUGUCUUUUCCUAGGUUCUACUUCUAACUUUCCUUUACAUGUUCUAAAUUGUUGGAAAUCAUCAACUUGAUGUUUGUGCUGCAUUCCCCUACUUUUAUUAGAGCGAACAAAUUCCUGCUUAUUUUACAAAAGUCAUUCCAAGUACAUGCAUUACUUCUAUUGAUCCACCAUGUUCAUCCACUAACUUCUCAAAGUUGCAGAGAUAUUUUUAGAUUAUGACAUUUCCUCUAAAAUGUUGAUUAGGAAUCUGUAAAGCUUGCUUAAUGUUGGAUAAUAGAAAAGAUAUGACUUUCCCUAUCUUGAUAUAGAAGUUUACUGUAAGCAGUGAUGUGAAAAUAUUGAUAAAUUUCCAUGUGAAUGAACAGACAAAGAAAAGAUCAUUAAAGUACUAUCUAUGUAGAAGAUCUCAUUUAGAAUUAUAUGUCGGAAUUCUUUCUGUUAUCCUUGACAUUGACAAACAAAUCAUGUUCUUCACAUUUUCCUUAUUCAAUUAUGUAUAUUCAUCAGUUUUUACUUGUCAGAGUAUCUUCUUCUUCAUUUUUAGCCGCUACACCAAAACAAAUUAAAGAAACUAUGAAGUUGGGUGGCUUCAUCCAUGAUGAAGUGAAAACCAUUGACAAUUGCUCUUUUUGUGUAUAUACAUUAGUAUUCUUUAUCAAUUCUCCUAUAGCAUUCACGUUUUUUUAUUUACAUGGCGCUUGAUUCUAGAUAUAUUACUGAAAUGCUUCUUAAAUUGCAGAUAAGCAUAUUUCAUAUUUGGUGUCUUCCAAUCCUAAGCUGUCCAAAAAUCAUUGUUUAUGUAGGAGUACAAUGUAUAAUUAAAUAUACAUACUUUCUAAGGACGUUUGCUAUUUGCCCAUGAUAGAACAAACUAUAUUUUGUUGCAAUGCAGUUGUAACUUACAACCACCUGAUCAUGUGAUUAAUUUGGAAGUUUUGACUGAUA